rnacentral:rRNA from 1 species
ACGAACGCUGGCGGCGUGCCUAAUACAUGCAAGUUGAGCGCUGAAGGUUGGUACUUGUACCAACUGGAUGAGCAGCGAACGGGUGAGUAACGCGUGGGGAAUCUGCCUUUGAGCGGGGGACAACAUUUGGAAACGAAUGCUAAUACCGCAUAAAAACUUUAAACACAAGUUUUAAGUUUGAAAGAUGCAAUUGCAUCACUCAAAGAUGAUCCCGCGUUGUAUUAGCUAGUUGGUGAGGUAAAGGCUCACCAAGGCGAUGAUACAUAGCCGACCUGAGAGGGGGAUCGGCCACAGUAGGACUGAGACACGGCCCAAACUCCUACGGGAGGCAGCAGUAGGGAAUCUUCGGCAAUGGACGAAAGUCUGACCGAGCAACGCCGCGGGAGUGAAGAAGGGUGUCGGAUCGUAAAAAUCUGUUGGUAGAGAAGAACGUUGGUGAGAGUGGAAAGCUCAUCAAGUGACGGUAACUACCCAGAAAGGGACGGCUAACUACGUG